rnacentral:misc_RNA from 1 species
UCUUUUAUUUUUCGACCCGGCGCAUUUGGCCCAUGACCCCCCCCAGGACCCCCUUGGACAAUGUUCCCCCCCGGGCAAGGUCCCGCCUGACCCCUGUCCAACUGGUCCAUCAGAGAGUCCUGUGAGCCCUCUACCCAACCAUAUGCCCAACAUUGUCCAGGGGGCACGGGGGCCUUUGUGGAUUAGCCCCCAACUUUGGCGCGGACCAAAUUGGCGCAGGGCCAAAUUGAUGUGCAGGUGAGGGUAAAAGAUGUUAUCGUAGCUGCACAUCAAUUUGGCCCCUUGGGGUAUGGUCCCGGUACCGAGGGGUGACGCUGGACCAAUUUUGGGGCAUUUUUGGGGGGUGUCACCACAGACCCUCAACUUUGCGCACGGGGGGUACCCAAAUUUAAGUGGAUUGUAAGUAAAAUUCACUUAAAAUUGACCAAAGUCGAGGCGCAAAGUUGGGGUGGUGACGGGGUGACACUAAAAAAAAUAAAAAAAUUAUUUUUUGAUUUCUUUAUUUUUUUAGUGUCACCGUGUCACCAGUCACCAUUUACGAUACUUUCCGGGAAAUUUCCGGAAUUUUAUGAAAUUUUCGGAAAAGUUGCAUUUUUGGUGAAUUAGUGUCUGUGAAAUUUUGGCCAGAGGACUGUCGUGAUGUCCGAGUUCCCAAAUUGGGACUUAUUGGACAUCGCUCUGAAAACGCCCACGGCGUUUCAGAUGACCGACAUUUCGAUGUAUUCUGGGUAUUUGAUAGCUGCCAAAUCGGUCAGCGUCGAAUAUUCCAAUACUUCGAAGGAUCCAUGAUAUUGCGAAAUAUCAUUGAAUUUCAUGGGGUUUUGUAUUAGUACCCGCUCAUUGUGGGAAAGUCGGGUGGAUUUAUUCAACCCGCAAAUCUAAUACAAGAUUUGCAUGAUGCAGCAACUGACCGAGGUUAGUAUAGCAGCUGUAUUUAUACGGCUCCCGCUAUGCAGACCCAUCGUGUUAGUGGUUGCGACUCUUGGCGUGAACCGAAAGACCGGACCUCGCUUUCGAGUAUUCAUCUAGGUGAAUACAAGAUUGCAAGGGUAUCGCCUUGUGCGAUAUAUCGUGAUCAUCAGAGCACGCUACGACUUCUGAAGAUCCUCUGGGUACUCGGAAGCUCGCAAGCAUUGCAUGAUGCAAUC